rnacentral:RNase_P_RNA from 1 species
UAAGUAGGGUAAAUGAUCGCGGCUGUAUGAACAUACAGGUGAGGAAAGUCCGGGCUUCACAGGGCAGGAUGCCGGAUAACGUCCGGUAGAGGCGACUCUAAGGAUAGUGCAACAGAAAUAUACCGCCAGAUUUUUCUGGUAAGGGUGGAAGGGCAGUGUAAAAGACUACCGCCUUUCUGGUAACAGAGAGGGCAUAUGUAAACCCCAUCCGAAGCAAGACUGAAUAAAAGCGUUGACGUGGCCCGCCAGCUUUAGGUUAGUUGCUUGAGAUAACUGGUAACAGUUAUCCUAGAUAGAUGAUCAUUCACGACAUAACCCGGCUUAUCGCUCUGCUUACAUU